GAUACAGUAAUUUUAAAAUAAGGGCAUUUAGAAAGUUUUACUCCCAGGAAAGAGGAAGGCCAUUUUUUAAAGAUUGUUAAGCACUUGCCAGCCAUGUUAUCAUUUUCCACUUGGAGAACAUCAACCACGAUAAAAAUGGAGUACUUUCUGUCUGGAGAGUUUGAUGAAGACUUGUCUAAAAUCAGAAGAAGUAGGAGGCAAACUAUUGCAGAUCCUGAAGGAAAAGCCUCAAUCCACAUAGAUUUACUCCUUGCUCUGAAUUUCCAAGCUGAGAAGAGUUCAACCACACCGACUAGAAAGCAUUCAGUCUGGUGUUCAUUCCAUCCUCUGUUACAACUGCCAUCUCACUUUCAGUUAGGGGAAACUGCUAACUCAG
rnacentral:lncRNA from 1 species